rnacentral:rRNA from 1 species
GUGGGGAAUAUUGGACAAUGGGCGAAAGCCUGAUCCAGCAAUGCCGCGUGAGUGAUGAAGGCCUUAGGGUUGUAAAGCUCUUUUACCCGGGAUGAUAAUGACAGUACCGGGAGAAUAAGCUCCGGCUAACUCCGUGCCAGCAGCCGCGGUAAUACGGAGGGAGCUAGCGUUGUUCGGAAUUACUGGGCGUAAAGCGCACGUAGGCGGCUUUGCAAGUUAGAGGUGAAAGCCCGGGGCUCAACUACGGAAUUGCCUUUAACACUGCAUCGCUUGAAUCCGGGAGAGGUGAGUGGAAUUCCGAGUGUAGAGGUGAAAUUCGUAGAUAUUCGGAAGAACACCAGUGGCGAAGGCGGCUCACUGGACCGGUAUUGACGCUGAGGUGCGAAAGCGUGGGGAGCAAACAGGAUUAGAUACCCGGGUAGUCC